GGAGAGACUGGCUGGAUAGUGUUCUGUAUAUAAGGAAAAAAUAACUCAGUUGGACGACGGCCAUCUGCUGGUUACAAAUGCAUACCAAUUUCAAAGAUGUCCUGGAAAGAAUGUGUCUUAGAAUUGGUGAGAUGGAGACGUUGGAGAAGAGACAACUGAGGGGAGACACGACAGCUGCUGUCCAACAGGAAGGACUUAAAUGAGGAAGAGGGCCAGUCUAUUCUCUAGUAUAUACUGAAGAUAAUUUUAGUAAUCAUACAUGAGUGCUCUUUAAACGUUUUGGAAGAAUGCGUCAAGUUUCAAGGGUGGUGUGUUGUCAACAAACGGCUGAGUCUGCCUGAUUCUUCAAGGAUCGGCCCUAUUGAUACUCAUUUGUAGUGAAAAAAGUUUUAAACAUUGAUCAUUCUUCAAAAAUAUACAGCUCAAUAAGAAAAAGUUACAUGUGGGACUGACAUAAAUAGUUUCAUCUUUUGUAUAAAAAUAAAGAUUUGGGGCAGCCAGAAUGUUUGGAAGCUACCUUUAAAUCUACAUACUGAACAUUUAUUUUAAGAUGUCGUUUUCAUUACCAUAUGUAACAGUUGCAUGAAAAAAUGGAUUGUCUUUAAAAGAAAAUUUUAUCUGUUAAAUAUUUCCCCUCUUAAGAGAGUUAGAC
rnacentral:lncRNA from 1 species